AGGACGAACGCUGGCGGCGUGCUUAACACAUGCAAGUCGAACGAGGCGCUUGCGCCUAGUGGCGAACGGGUGAGUAACACGUGAGCAACCUGCCCUUGGCUCUGGGAUAGCCUCCGGAAACGGGGAUUAAUAACCGGACAUGACCUUCUCCUGCAUGGGGGAGGGUGGAAAGUUUUUCGGCCAGGGAGGGCUCGCGGCCUAUCAGCUUGUUGGGGGGUAACGGCCCACCAAGGCGACGACGGGUAG
rnacentral:rRNA from 1 species